GUUCUGCGUAGGAAGGUUAUUAUUAUUUUCAUUAUAAUUCAGACUGGGAUCGACCUUAUUAAUAUAGGUGGUGUAAUAGAUUCUAGCGCAGUAAUUUUACCACCUGAGAAUGAACGAACAUGGAAAAAUUAAGUAGGUUGUUUAAAAUGAACUUCUGCAUAGGUAAGUUAUCAUUAUUUUCGUUUUAAUUCAGACUGGGAUCAACUUUAUUAUCAUAGUCGGAGUUAUGGAUUCCAGCACAGUACUAAUUCUGCCAACCAGGGAUGCACUACCCCCCAAAAAAUUAAGAAGGUUGUUUAAAAUGAACUUCUAUAUUGGAAAGUCAUCAUUAUUUUGUUUUUAAUUCAGACUGGGAUCAACUUUAUCAUCAUAGUCAGUGUUAUGGAUUCCAGCACAGUACUAAUUCUGCCAACCAAGGAUGCACUAACCCGCAAAAAUUAAGAAGGUUGUUUAAAAUGAACUGCACAGGCAAGUUAUCAUUAUUUUCAUUUUAAUUCAGACCGGGAUCAACUUUAUUAUCAUAGUCGGUGUUAUGGAUUCCAACGCAGUACUAAUUCAGCUGGGCAAGGAUGCACGAACAUGGUAACACUGCAUGGUUAAUAUCCUCCCUUCGUCAGGUCGCAAAAUUCCUGCGGCAAAGUCCAUAACAGCGACUAUAUUGCUUUACAGAUCUCGUUUCAGGGAAUUUAAAACCAAGGCAGCUGUCUGACUUACGGUUGUAGGUCUGUUAUAUGAAGUCCUCUAGUAGUUAUUUAUGUACACUAUCUGGAUCAUCAAUUAUUAUCGUUAGUGCUUCAUCCAAGACAGUCAGUCGUCGCUUAAGUUGAGGGAUGUUAAAAUAAUGCACUUUAGGUUAGGGGCCCUGCAUCAGUCUGUUGCUACGUCAUUCCUUCUUACUAUUCCUCCUAAACCCUCAUGCAUAUCAGACGUAGCCCCUCGUAAUCACUCUUUUUGAAACCUUUCCUUCUUCAUAGACUUGCUGCAUCCCUCUAAAACCUGAUCUUCACAAUGUCCUAUUCCCUUAGACUCAUGGUAAUACUCGAUUUUUAUUUGUGAGUGAAUUUCGUCUACCUGUGCGACCUGAAACAAUAGGGUCGUAUUAGAAGUCAAAUCCGAGAAGUUUCAGGUCCCUACAGAGUUUGGUUCAGGGGCCGUAUUACAAGUUGAAUCCGAGAAGCUUCAGGUCCCUACAGAGUUUGGUUCAGGGGCCGUAUUACAAGUUGAAUCCGAGAAGCUUCAGGUCCCUACAGAGUUUGGUUCAGGGGCCGUAUUACAAGUUGAAUCCAAGAAGCUUCAGGUCCCUACAGAGUUUGGUUCAGGGGCCGUAUUACAAGUUGAAUCCAAGAAGCUUCAGGUCCCUACAGAGUUUGGUUUAGGGGCCGUAUUACAAGUUGAAUCCGAGAAGCUUCAGGUCCCUACAGAGUUUGGUUCAGGGGCCGUAUUACAAGUUGAAUCCGAGAAGCUUCAGGUCCCUACAGAGUUUGGUUCAGGGGCCGUAUUACAAGUUGAAUCCGAGAAGCUUCAGGUCCCUACAGAGUUUGGUUUAGGGGCUCUAUUACAAGUUGAAUCCGAGAAGCUUCAGGUCCCUACAGAGUUUGGUUCAGGGGCCGUAUUACAAGUUGAAUCCGAGAAGCUUCAGGUCCCUACAGAGUUU